AAAAAAAAAGGAAAAAAAAAAACUGAAAC
rnacentral:sRNA from 1 species